rnacentral:lncRNA from 1 species
AACUAUCUGAAUUGUUAUCUCGUCCAGAUACUGGUUCAUUAUAAAUAAGAAGAUGCGAUACGAGUGCUAUCCAGACAAAUACCCAACAAAGUCAUGCCACACCGUCGCACUGCCUUUGAAAAAUUAGCGGGGAAAUAUAACGUUAUUUUCCGAAACGUCUUAAUUUUUGGCGCAAUUUGUGAGGCUUACGGGAGGGAUUGAGUAAACAGUAUUAUAUUACUCAAUUUUUCUCAAAAACGAGUAUGGUGACAAAUAUUUUUCAAAACGUUAUGACGUUCCAUUUUUUUUAAAAGAAACACAUAUCUUACUUUGGGCAAAUCGACACCGU